rnacentral:rRNA from 1 species
UUAGAGUUUGAUCCUGGCUCAGAUUGAACGCUGGCGGCAUGCCUUACACAUGCAAGUCGAACGGCAGCGCGGGGCAACCUGGCGGCGAGUGGCGAACGGGUGAGUAAUAUAUCGGAACGUGCCCUGGAGUGGGGGAUAACGCAGCGAAAGUUGCGCUAAUACCGCAUACGAUCUAAGGAUGAAAGCAGGGGACCGCAAGGCCUUGUGCUCCUGGAGCGGCCGAUAUCUGAUUAGCUAGUUGGUGGGGUAAAGGCCUACCAAGGCAUCGAUCGGUAGCUGGUCUGAGAGGACGACCAGCCACACUGGAACUGAGACACGGUCCAGACUCCUACGGGAGGCAGCAGUGGGGAAUUUUGGACAAUGGGCGCAAGCCUGAUCCAGCAAUGCCGCGUGAGUGAAGAAGGCCUUCGGGUUGUAGAGCUCUUUUGUCAGGGAAGAAACGGUAUGGGCUAAUAUCCCGUACUAAUGACGGUACCUGAAGAAUAAGCACCGGCUAACUACGUGCCAGCAGCCGCGGUAAUACGUAGGGUGCAAGCGUUAAUCGGAAUUACUGGGCGUAAAGCGUGCGCAGGCGGUUUUGUAAGUCUGUCGUGAAAUCCA